UUUAAUCAUCUAAUAUUCAUGUCUUAGUGCCACUAAGGUGUCUAGAAUUUUUUUGGAUUCUACACAAAUAAUUUUAAAUACCUUAAUGGCACUAAGGCAUGAAUAUUGGAUGGCUAAA
rnacentral:miRNA from 1 species